rnacentral:rRNA from 1 species
CGGAAGGUCCGGGCGUUAUCCGGAUUUAUUGGGUUUAAAGGGAGCGUAGGCCGGAGAUUAAGCGUGUUGUGAAAUGUAGAGGCUCAACCUCUGCACUGCAGCGCGAACUGGUCUUCUUGAGUACGCACAACGUGGGCGGAAUUCGUGGUGUAGCGGUGAAAUGCUUAGAUAUCACGAAGAACUCCGAUUGCGAAGGCAGCUCACGGGAGCGCAACUGACGCUGAAGCUCGAAAGUGCGGGUAUCGAACAGGAUU